AGGCGGUUUCUUNAGUCUGAUGUGAAAGCCCCCGGCUCAACCGGGGAGGGUCAUUGGAAACUGGGAAACUUGAGUGCAGAAGAGGAGAGUGGAAUUCCACGUGUAGCGGUGAAAUGCGUAGAGAUGUGGAGGAACACCAGUGGCGAAGGCGACUCUCUGGUCUGUAACUGACGCUGAGGAGCGAAAGCGUGGGGAGCGAACAGGAUUAGAUACCCUGGUAGUCCACGCCGUAAACGAUGAGUGCUAAGUGUUAGGGGGUUUCCGCCCCUUAGUGCUGCAGCUAACGCAUUAAGCACUCCGCCUGGGGAGUACGGUCGCAAGA
rnacentral:rRNA from 1 species